rnacentral:rRNA from 22 species
AAGACGACGACGUUGAUAGGCCGGGUGUGUAAGCGCAGCGAUGCGUUGAGCUAACCGGUACUAAUGAACCGUGAGGCUUAACCUU